CGGUUGGCUAUUGAUUCAGUAUAAAAAAUUUGUUCCGAAAUGAAUUUCAAUAUUUUUGUGAACGUUGUUCUCUUGAUUGUUGCUGCUGGUCACAUCAAUGGCCAAGAUGCAAUUGCAGAAGCAGCACCCGAACCAAUAUUUACAAUCUUACCAUUUCCUCUGCCAGCUACUAAAUAUCCAAUCAAACAAGAUUGUUCGCUUGUUAAAUGCCGUCUUCCGACAUGUACAGGAUAUAUGAAACCGAUAAAAUUAGCGGGUGCAUGUUGCCCACAGUGCGUAUUGGAUUGUACAGACAUUCUUUGUCUGGAUUGCGUGGGUACUAGAGAAUUUGACCAAUGCUGUCCCACAUGUGAUAUCGGUGGACCCGUUGCUGAAGCUUAUUGAACGCGGUAGCCAAUAUCCAGUUCUCAUUGAAUUAAAAAUAAAUUCUAAAUGAGUAAACAAAA